ACCUGGUUGGCUCAGUCCAUAGAGCAUGUGACUCUUGAUCUGGGGCUUGUGAGUUUGAGUCCCACAUUAGGUG
rnacentral:tRNA from 1 species